rnacentral:rRNA from 1 species
AGGAAGUAAAAGUCGUAACAAGGUCUCCGUUGGUGAACCAGCGGAGGGAUC